rnacentral:rRNA from 1 species
ACUCCUGCGGGAGGCAGCAGUGGGGAAUUUUGGACAAUGGGCGAAAGCCUGAUCCAGCAAUGCCGCGUGUGUGAAGAAGGCCUUCGGGUUGUAAAGCACUUUUGUCCGGAAACAAAUCCUUGGCUCUAAUACAGUCGGGGGAUGACGGUACCGGAAGAAUAAGCACCGGCUAACUACGUGCCAGCAGCCGCGGUAAUACGUAGGGUGCGAGCGUUAAUCGGAAUUACUGGGCGUAAAGCGUGCGCAGGCGGUUUGCUAAGACCGAUGUGAAAUCCCCGGGCUCAACCUGGGAACUGCAUUGGGGACUGGCAGGCUAGAGUAUGGCAGAGGGGGGUAGAAUUCCACGUGUAGCAGUGAAAUGCGUAGAGAUGUGGAGGAAUACCGAUGGCGAAGGCAGCCCCCUGGGCCAAUACUGACGCUCAGGCACGAAAGCGUGGGGAGCAAACAGGAUUAGAAACCCGAGUAGUCCCA